CACUGACACACACAACAAUCUUCAUCAACAUGACCUUCAUCAUCAUCUUCAUCUGGACUCUCACAGCGUUUGCUCAAGAGAGUAGAGGACAGAUCAGCGUCACUCAGAGUCCCUCAACGACAGCAGCUCAACCAGAAGAAACAGUCAAAAUUAGCUGUAAAACCAGCAGAGAUGUGUACAGUUGGAAUAGGAAAUACUAUUUAGCCUGGUACUUACAGAAACAUGGAGAAGCUCCUAAACUCCUGAUUUUUGAUGCAGAUGUCCGCCAGUCAGGAACUCCAUCUAGAUUCAGCGGCAGUGGAUCUAACAGUGAUUUCACUCUGACCAUCAGUGGAGUCCAGACUGAAGAUGCUGGACAUUAUUACUGUCACAGUGCACACAGUGGUCCAACGUUCACACAGUGAUAAAGAGUUGUACAAAAACCUCCGUCAGUCAGAGUCACAGUGAUGA